CCCGCCGGCGACCGGCGCACGGGUGAGUAACACGUAUGCAACCGUGGCCGCCACAGGGGGAUAACCCGCGGAAACGCGGCCUAAUACCCCGUGACGCCACCGGAGGGCAUCCUCCGGUGGCCAAAGGAGCGAUCCGGUGGCGGAUGGGCAUGCGGCGCAUUAGCUAGACGGCGGGGUGACGGCCCACCGUGGCGACGAUGCGUAGGGGUUCUGAGAGGAAGGCCCCCCACACUGGGACUGAGACACGGCCCAGACUCCUACGGGAGGCAGCAG
rnacentral:rRNA from 1 species